rnacentral:siRNA from 1 species
UCGAUCGUGUCGUCGGUAGCGGCC